AGUGAACGCUGGCGGUAGGCCUAACACAUGCGAGUCGAACGGCAGCACAGUAAGAGCUUGCUCUUACGGGUGGCGAGUGGCGGACGGGUGAGGAAUACAUCGGAAUCUACUUUUUCGUGGGGGAUAACGUAGGGAAACUUACGCUAAUACCGCAUACGACCUACGGGUGAAAGCAGGGGAUCUUCGGACCUUGCGCGAUUGAAUGAGCCGAUGUCGGAUUAGCUAGUUGGCGGGGUAAAGGCCCACCAAGGCGACGAUCCGAAGCUGGUCUGAGAGGAUGAUCAGCCACACUGGAACUGAGACACGGUCCAGACUCCUACGGGAGGCAGCAGUGGGGAAUAUUGGACAAUGGGCGCAAGCCUGAUCCAGCCGUACCGCGUGGGUGAAGAAGGCCUUCGGGUUGUAAAGCCCUUUUGUUGGGAAAGAAAAGCAGCAGGUUAAUACCCCGCUGUUCUGACGGUACCCAAAGAAUAAGCACCGGCUAACUUCGUG
rnacentral:rRNA from 1 species